rnacentral:rRNA from 1 species
UGUAAGCGUAUACCAAAGUUGUUGCAGUUAAAACGCUCGUAGUCGGAACUUGGCCGUGUCGGAUGAGUGCACGUCGUGUGCGCGCAUUGCAGAUAUGGCUUUUGUGGAUUUUGCGUACGAUGAGGCACGUUUAUUCGUGAACGUCGUGCCGCAGCCACUCUUUACUGUGAGAAAAUCAAAGUGCUCAAAGCAGGCAUUUGCCGUGAAUGUAUUAGCAUGGAAUAAUAGAAUAGGACUCGGUUCUAUUUUGUUGGUUUGUUGGGGCUGAGUAAUGAUUAAGAGGGACAGUUGGGGGCAUUUGUAUUUCGGCGCUAGUGGUGAAAUUCUUAGAUUGCCGAAAGACAAACUGCUGCGAAAGCGUCUGCCAAGGAUGUUUUCAUUGA